rnacentral:rRNA from 1 species
GCCGGAUAUUAUCCGCCUUAUUAGAUGAGCCUAUGUUAGAUUAGCUAGUUGGUGGGGUAAUGGCCUACCAAGGCGAUGAUCUAUAGCUGGUCUGAGAGGAUGAUCAGCCACACUGGAACUGAGACACGGUCCAGACUCCUACGGGAGGCAGCAGUGGGGAAUAUUGGACAAUGGGCGCAAGCCUGAUCCAGCUAUGCCGCGUGAGUGAGGAAGGCCUUAGGGUUGUAAAACUCUUUCAG